rnacentral:rRNA from 1 species
UACGGAGGGGGCUAGCGUUGCUCGGAAUCACUGGGCGUAAAGCGUCCGCAGGUGGCUGUGUAAGUCUGCUGUCAAAGAGCGAAGCUCAACUUCGUAAAGGCAGUGGAAACUACACGGCUAGAGUGCGUUCGGGGCAGAGGGAAUUCCUGGUGUAGCGGUGAAAUGCGUAGAGAUCAGGAAGAACACCGGUGGCGAAGGCGCUCUGCUAGGCCGCAACUGACACUGAGGGACGAAAGCUAGGGGAGCGAAUGGG